rnacentral:rRNA from 1 species
GACGAACGCUGGCGGCGUGGAUUAGGCAUGCAAGUCGAACGGUAUCAUCCUUUCGGGGGUGAGAGAGUGGCGAACUGGUGAGUAACACGUAGGUUAUCUACCCUCAAGACGGGGACAACCCAGGGAAACUUGGGCUAAUACCGGAUGUGAGCAACUUUUAGUUGUUUGAAAGGUGGCGUAAGCUGUCGCUUGGGGAUGAGCCUGCGUCCUAUUAGUUAGUUGGUGAGGUAACGGCUCACCUAGGCAAUGAUAGGUAGGCGGCCUUAACGGGUGGUCGCCCACACUGGGAUUGAGAUACGGCCCAGACUCCUACGGGAGGCAGCAGUCGAGAAUAGUCUACAAUGGUCGGAAGACUGAUAGUGCGACGCCGCGUGAACGAUGAAUCCCUUCGGGGUGUAAAGUUCUUUUAUAUGUGAGCAGUGCUUCUUAUAUUAACAGUAUGGGGAGAGAGAUAUUAGCAUAUGAAUAAGCAACGGCUAACUCCGUGCCAGCAGCCGCGGUAAACUCGUCG